rnacentral:rRNA from 1 species
UACGGAGGGUGCAAGCGUUAUCCGGAUUCACUGGGUUUAAAGGGUGCGUAGGUGGCUUUGUAAGUCAGUGGUGAAAGCCCGGAGCUCAACUCCGGAACUGCCAUUGAUACUGCUUAGCUUGAAUCACGUCGAGGUGGAUGGAAUAAUACAUGUAGCGGUGAAAUGCUUAGAUAUGUAUUAGAACACCGAUUGCGAAGGCAGUUCAAUAGGCGUGUAUUGACACUGAGGCACGAAAGCGUGGGGAUCAAACAGG